GGUGAGAAGAGAGGAUCCAGCAGGGUGGUGCAUGAGGAAGGGGGGGUACCAUCUGUGGUCCUGGGGACUCUUUAUUCCAGGGAAGCUUCUUUGGAUCUGAGAUGUUGAAGAAUCUGGUCCUGCAAUUCCUGCAGCAGUAUUACUUGAUCUAUGACUCUGGAGAUCGACAGGGUCUCCUUAGUGCUUACCACGAUGAGGCCUGCUUCUCCCUGAGCAUUCCCUUCAAUCCUGAGGACUCAGCCCCGAGCAGGUUCUGCAAGUUCUUCAAGGAUAGCAGGAAUAUAAAAAUUCUCAAGGACCCCUACCUUCGGGGGGAGCUGCUGAAGCACACAAAACUUGAUAUUGUGGACUCCCUCAGUGUGUUGCCUAAGACUCAGCAUGACCUCAGCUCCUUCCUGGUGGACAUGUGGUACCAGACGGAAUGGAUGCUCUGCUUUUCUGUCAAUGGGGUGUUCAAGGAAGUGGAAGGACAGUCUCAGGGUUCUGUUCUCGCCUUCACCCGGACCUUCAUUGCUACCCCUGGCAGCAGUUCCAGUCUGUGCAUCGUGAAUGACGAGCUCUUUGUGCGGGAUACCAGCCACCAAGGGACCCAGAGUGCCUUGUUCAC
rnacentral:sRNA from 1 species